GAUGAACGCUGGCGGCGUGCCUAAUACAUGCAAGUCGAGCGAAUGGAUUAAGAGCUUGCUCUUAUGAAGUUAGCGGCGGACGGGUGAGUAACACGUGGGUAACCUGCCCAUAAGACUGGGAUAACUCCGGGAAACCGGGGCUAAUACCGGAUAACAUUUUGAACCGCAUGGUUCGAAAUUGAAAGGCGGCUUCGGCUGUCACUUAUGGAUGGACCCGCGUCGCAUUAGCUAGUUGGUGAGGUAACGGCUCACCAAGGCAACGAUGCGUCGCCGAGCUGAGAGGGGGAUCGGCAACACUGGGACUGAAACACGGCCCAGACUCCUACGGGAGGCAGCAGUAGGGAAGCUUCCGCAAUGGACGAAAGUCUGACGGAGCAACGCCGCGUGAGUGAUGAAGGCUUUCGGGUCGUAAAACUCUGUUGUUAGGGAAGAACAAGUGCUAGUUGAAUAAGCUGGCACCUUGACGGUACCUAACCAGAAAGCCACGGCUAACUACGUGCCAGCCGCCGCAGUAA
rnacentral:rRNA from 1 species